AUCAUUGGUACUUUAUAUAUUUUUGUUCAGUGUGCAAUUCAAAGAAUGAAGAAAAGAAUCAAAAAUAAAUACUAUGAUAAAAACAUGAGUCUUCCUACGUUAAUUGACAGUGCAGGUGGUGGUCAGGACAUUACCAGCUUACAGGAGUCUAAUAAAUACAACAUGCAAGUAAAUGGCAAUUUGUAAGUAUGAUGGCUUAUAUUGAAUGUCAACUUGACUGAAGGAUACAAAGUAUUGUUCCUGGGUGUGUCCGUGAGGGUGUUGAUGAAGGAGAUUAACAUGUGAGUCAUAGACUGGGAGAGACAGACUUACCCUCAAUCUGGGUGGGCAGCAUCUAAUCAGCUGCCAGCGUGAAUAGAAUAGAGCAGCAGAAGAUGGAAGAGCAGGUUUGCUGAGUCUUCCAGCCUUCAUCUUUCUCUCAUGCCAGAUGCUUCCUGCCCUCAAACAUCAGAUUCCAGGUUCUUCAGCAUUUGGACUCUUGGAUUUACAGCAGUGGUUUGCUGGGGGCUCUUGGGCCUUUGGCCACAGACUGAAAGUGCACAGUCAGCUUCCUGACUUGAGAUUUUGGGGCUCUGACUUUCUUGCUCCACUGGCUUUCUUGCUCCUCAGCUUGCAGAUGACCUAUCAUGGGACUUCACCUUGUGAACAUCUCACUGGAUGUUUCCAAGUGCAAUCACAAAACUUAAUGGAGAUCAGAGGGCCCCUUUACUUGGAAGAAGAAUUUGAACCCCCUUGGUUUGGAACCAAGGUAAAGAUUGGAAUCUCUCCCAGUGUUCACGUGACUAAACACGUUUGUCACAGUGGUGAGUACAUUCUGCUUUCUACCGAACCAGAGGCAUUUCCCAUUAUCUGAACUCACGCUGUAGACUUGGUGAGAUAAGAAUGCCAGUUCCUCCUGGACUUUUGAAUGCUGCAAUUUAAACUAAUGUUUAUUCCCUCAGGGGUCAGUAAUGAGCUACACAGGAAGCCACAUUACUUGGCUUCCCGGGUUCGGCUGUGUCUUGCCCAUGUGGUAGCCAGCAGCACCUUCCCUCCUCCGUAGCCUUGGCUUGCUCCUACUCAUUCUACUCUUGGCCUGACAGCUCCUUCUCCCAAAGCCCUUUUCAGGCACAGUUUGAUGUUGAUUCAGAUUUCUGUUCUGUAAGUUCUUGCUUCUAUGACAGUGGUUUCCACAUUGUGUUGCAAAUGUCUAUUUCUCAGGCUAAGACAGCACCGCCUGGGAUGGAGAGCCUGUGUUUCCAUCUUCCUAGCUCCAGUGCCACCUACAGGGCCGGGAACAGAGUACUAUAUGUAGCCCAUGAAUGCAUGUUGAACUAAAAGCUGCCUGAAUGAAUAAAAAUAAUGAAUGUUUGAAAUACUGAAAAUAUAAAUCCAUAAAUACAUGGCUUACAUGCAUGCAUAGACAUUUUCUAUGAGUGGCUUAAAUAUUUGGUCACUUUAAAAUGAUUGGAAGAGCCUCUUUAGUGAGAGUAUAUCGGGAAACACUAUAUCCAUUUGGUGAAACAAGGUAAAGAGAAACGAACUAAUGUAUAUUAAAGACCAGAUCCUAGGACAAAUUAAAAUUGCCUUAUGUAGGCUAGGUGUUGUGGCUCACAUCUGUAAUCCUAGCACUUUGGGAGGCUGAGGCAGGUGGAUCACCUGAGGUCAGGAGUUUGAGAUCAGCCUGGCCAACAUAGUGAAAUCCCAUCUCUACUAAAAAUACAAAAAGAAAUUAGCCAGGUGUGGCAGCACACACUUGUAAUCCCAGCUACUCAGGAAGCUGAGGCAGGAGAAUCACUUGAACCCAGGAAGAUGGAGGUUCUAGUGAGCCAGAAUCAUGGCCAUUGUACUCCAGCCUGAGCAAUAGAGUGG
rnacentral:lncRNA from 1 species